rnacentral:sRNA from 1 species
GUUAAUUAGUUAUCCUAAUGAGCUUAAUUAACUUAAUAGUCCCACCGCAGGCGGUGCUACCAGGCAGCCAGGGUGGAGAGCCCUGUCCUGUGAAGUCCUUACUCAGAGGUUCUGGGGCCACUGUAUGUGCCCUGGGGGUAGCCCCAGGUGUUGGUCUUGAACUGCUUGCAUCAGGCUCACGUGGGAGGGAAUAGCAGCCAUCUGGGCGAUGCCUACCCAUGUUUGCGGAUGGCAGUCUCUUAACACAGUGUAACCUUGAGCAUGGCCAGGAGGGAAGUGAAUAGAAGCCUUGUCUGAGAGUGCUUUAAUCUGUUACUAACAUUAAUAAUCUGUUAAUAACUAAUAGUCUGGACUAACACUCAGGGAGUGUCGGUGAAUGUUAUGAGUUCCAAGAACAAGCCCUUUCCUGCAUGGAGCAAUCCCCUGUUUCAGGAAAGCAAUGCCCUUGGCUGGACUGCAGACUCCACAUGCAGUACAGACCGGAGACAUGGGUGUGGCGAUCCUGCCUUCUAAGAUGGGGCUCGUUAACUAGUGUAUACACGUGUGGGCUUAUGCCAUUGGUUGGCAUAAAUGCACUGCUUGGAGGAUUCAGGUUCCUUUUUAAUUGAAGAUUCCGAGAACCAAAAUAUGGGGCCACUUUGCUUUGCUGUUGCGGCCUCUUUGGAAGAUGAAUCUUUUGUAUACACUAGCAGAGCUGUGCUAAUAGGCUCUUUCUGUAAAGUGGGGAAUCUUUUUGGUAGUGCAGACACACACUCUAUACUCUUCCUAUUUCAGUAUAUGUCUGUAAAUACUUCUGGUAUUUCUUGAUAUUGAUGCCUUCCUUGGCAUGGUGUUUGUUCUCAGAUAUAAGUUGUGCUUUGAUCAACUUUUUUUUUUUUUUUUUUUUGAGAUGGAGUCUCACUCUUCACCCAGGGUGGAGUGCAGUGGCACUAUCUUGGUUCACUGCAACCUCCGCCUCCCGGGUUCAAUCAAUUCUCCUGCCUUAGCCUCCCGAGUAGCUGGGACUACAGGCGCGUGCCACCAUGCCUGGGUAAUUUUUGUAUUUUUAGUAGAGAUGGGGUUUCACCAUGUUGGUCAGGCUGGUCUUGAACUCCUGACUUCAUGAUCCACCCACCUCAGCCUCCAAAAGUGCUGGGAUUACAGGCGUGAGCCAUCAUGCCUGUCUUUUUUUUUUUUUUUUUUUUUUUAAAUACAGAAUCUCACUCUGUUGCCCAGGCUGGAGUGCAAUGGCACAGUCUCAGCUCACUGCAGCCGCAGCCUCCUAGGUUAAAGCAAUUCUCCUGCGUCAGCCUCCGAAGCAGUUGGGGCCACAGGCAUGUGCCACCAUGCCUGGCUAAUUUUUGUAUAUUUAGUAGAAAUGGGGUUUCACCAUAUUGGCCAGCUGGUCUUGAACUCCUGACCUCAAGUGAUCCACCUGCCUUGGCCUCUCAAAGUGCUUGGAUUACAGGUGUGAGCCAGCGCACCCAGCCUCAUCGACUUUCUUUAUUGGCUACGGGUGCUGGGGACACAGGGACCUGGUUAUGCACUGAUGAUGUUGCCCUUUCUCUCCUGUGAAAUGCAGUGGUCCUAUUGGCUACUGAAGGUUUUUGCCAUUUUCUUUUUUUAGAGACAGGGUCUCACUCGUGCCCAGGCUGGAAUGCAGUGGUGCAAGCAUAGCUCACUCCAACCUUGAACUCGGGCUCAAGCAAUCCUCCCACCUCAGCCUCCAGAGUAGCUGGGACUACAGGCAUCCAUCACCAUGCCUGCUGGUUUUUGCCUUUUAGAUGAUCAAUGAUGACUUUUUCCUCCUGCUUUCAGGGUGUGCUGGACCGGUUUUCUCAAAUUCAGCCAAAGCUCAUCUUCUCUGUGGAGGCUGUUGUCUAUAAUGGCAAAGAGCACAACCACAUGGAAAAGCUGCAGCAGGUGGUUAAAGGCCUACCAGACUUGAAGAAAGUGGUGGUGAUUCCUUACGUGUCCUCCAGAGAGAACAUAGACCUUUCAAAGAUUCCAAACAGUGUGUUUCUGGAUGACUUUCUUGCCACCGGCACCAGCGAGCAGGCCCCGCAGCUGGAGUUCGAGCAGCUGCCCUUCAGCCACCCACUGUUCAUCAUGUUCUCAUCAGGCACCACUGGUGCGCCCAAGUGCAUGGUGCAUUCCGCUGGGGGCACCCUCAUCCAGCAUCUGAAGGAGCACCUGCUGCACGGCAACAUGACCAGCAGUGACAUCCUCCUGUGCUACACCACGGUCGGCUGGAUGAUGUGGAACUGGAUGGUGUCCCUUCUGGCCACAGGAGCGGCCAUGGUCUUGUACGAUGGCUCCCCCCUGGUGCCCACGCCCAAUGUGCUCUGGGACCUGGUUGACAGGAUAGGCAUCACUAUCCUGGUAACCGGGGCCAAGUGGCUGUCGGUGCUGGAAGAGAAGGCCAUGAAGCCGGUGGAAACCCACAGUCUCCAGAUGCUCCACACGAUCCUGUCCACUGGCUCCCCACUGAAAGCCCAGAGCUACGAGUAUGUCUACAGGUGCAUCAAGAGCAGUAUCCUCCUAGGCUCCAUCUCAGGUAUGGCCCCGG